ACCAUUGGAACGAUGGCUAAUACCGCAUAAUACCUACGGGUCAAAGAGGGGGACCUUCGGGCCUCUCGCGUCAGGAUAUGCCUAGGUGGGAUUAGCUAGUUGGUGAGGUAAUGGCUCACCAAGGCGACGAUCCCUAGCUGGUCUGAGAGGAUGAUCAGCCACACUGGAACUGAGACACGGUCCAGACUCCUACGGGAGGCAGCAGUGGGGAAUAUUGCACAAUGGGCGCAAGCCUGAUGCAGCCAUGCCGCGUGUGUGAAGAAGGCCUUCGGGUUGUAAAGCACUUUCAGUCGUGAGGAAGGUGGUGUAGUUAAUAGCUGCAUUAUUUGACGUUAGCGACAGAAGAAGCACCGGCUAACUCCGUGCCAGCAGCCGCGGUAAUACGGAGGGUGCGAGCGUUAAUCGGAAUUACUGGGCGUAAAGCGCAUGCAGGUGGUUUGUUAAGUCAGAUGUGAAAGCCCGGGGCUCAACCUCGGAAUAGCAUUUGAAACUGGCAGACUAGAGUACUGUAGAGGGGGGUAGAAUUUCAGGUGUAGCGGUGAAAUGCGUAGAGAUCUGAAGGAAUACCGGUGGCGAAGGCGGCCCCCUGGACAGAUACUGACACUCAGAUGCGAAAGCGUGGGGAGCAAACAGGAUUAGAUACCCUGGUAGUCCACGCCGUAAACGAUGUCUACUUGGAGGUUGUGGCCUUGAGCCGUGGCUUUCGGAGCUAACGCGUUAAGUAGACCGCCUGGGGAGUACGGUCGCAAGAUUAAAACUCAAAUGAAUUGACGGGGGCCCGCACAAGCGGUGGAGCAUGUGGUUUAAUUCGAUGCAACGCGAAGAACCUUACCUACUCUUGACAUCCAGAGAACUUUCCAGAGAUGGAUUGGUGCCUUCGGGAACUCUGAGACAGGUGCUGCAUGGCUGUCGUCAGCUCGUGUUGUGAAAUGUUGGGUUAAGUCCCGCAACGAGCGCAACCCUUAUCCUUGUUUGCCAGCACUUCGGGUGGGAACUCCAGGGAGACUGCCGGUGAUAAACCGGAGGAAGGUGGGGACGACGUCAAGUCAUCAUGGCCCUUACGAGUAGGGCUACACACGUGCUACAAUGGCGCAUACAGAGGGCGGCCAACUUGCGAGAGUGAGCGAAUCCCAAAAAGUGCGUCGUAGUCCGGAUCGGAGUCUGCAACUCGACUCCGUGAAGUCGGAAUCGCUAGUAAUCGUGGAUCAGAAUGCCACGU
rnacentral:rRNA from 1 species